CAGACCUGCUCCGGUAUACAGCGAGCACUGCAGAACUACAUCUGAAAAAGCUCAUUCCUCUGCCUGGCAGCCACACCAGCAAGGAAGGCCCAUGGGUCAGCUACCACCAAAUGAAGAACCACAGGCGUUGGUUUGCUUCCAGACUGCUACUGGGGGCUUCGUGUGAUGCCUUCAGAUGGCUGUAGUGACAGGGAAGUCAAAGAGACGAGCUCGGUGCUGUCCCCUUUCCAGGUGAUGGCUGUUACCAGUGAGAGGAUGUGACAGACAGUUUAGAAGUUUCCUUUUUCGCCUACUCAAGGAAGAAGAGCUCUGAAGCUUGCAGCAAAGUGAUUUCUUGCCAUUUUCUCUCUUUGUACUUAGCUGCAGGUUUCCACCUCUGGUGUGCAGCACCUCAGGGAAAAUACAUACUCCUUGUAAGCUGUCAAGACAAGGAAGAACAGCAGGGAUGGAGACCUUCUGCCUGGAAUAUUUUCUUCAACUUCAAGAGAGCUGCAGUGAACUGUAGAAGAUAGUGCAGAGUUUAUAGAAGUACAUCUCCAGGAUUAUUUGCCUCUGUGGUAGAAGUGCAGGUCUGUGCCAGAAGUGCAGGUCUGUGCCUGGUGCCUUUCGUGUAGCUUCAGAUAGGGGUUCUUGGAAGAUUUCAAUUUCAGAUUAAAGACUUGUGAACUUCAUGUCAGCAACAGUAUAGAAAGUUUGCAGGUGUAUGCCUGUGCGAAUGCAUACGAUAUUUGGGAGCAGAACUAUCUUAACCCA